AACGAACGCUGGCGGUAUGCUUAACACAUGCAAGUCGAACGAGAAAGUUCCCUCCGGGGGGCGAGUACAGUGGCGCACGGGUGAGUAACACGUAGGUGACCUGCCGAUUGGAGGGGGAUAACUGAAAGAAAUUUCAGCUAAUACCGCAUAAGCACGACAAAUUUGAAAGUAGUCGUGGAAAGAUUGCCUCUAUACUAUGCAAUCACCGAUUGAUGGGCCUGCGAGGCAUUAGCUUGAUGGUGGGGUAAUGGCCUACCAUGGCUACGAUGCCUAGCUGGUUUGAGAGAAUGAUCAGCCACACUGGAACUGAGACACGGUCCAGACUCCUACGGGAGGCAGCAGUGGGGAAUAUUGCGCAAUGGGCGAAAGCCUGACGCAGCAAUACCGCGUGAGUGAGGAAGGAUUUCGGUUCGUAAAACUCUGUCAGAGUGGAAAAACGGCCAGGUGUCUAAUAGGCAUUUGGUUUGAUGGUACACUCAAAGGAAGCACCGGCUAACUUCGUGCCAGCAGCCGCGGUAAUACGAAGGGUGCGAGCGUUGUUCGGAUUUAUUGGGCGUAAAGCGUACGCAGGCGGAUUGGUAAGUCAGAUGUGAAAUCUCGGGGCUCAACCCCGAAACUGCGUCUGAAACUGUUAGUCUAGAAUCUCGGAGAGGAAAGGGGAAUUUCGCAUGUAGGGGUAAAAUCCGUAGAGAUGCGAAGGAACACCAGAGGCGAAGGCGCCUUUCUGGACGAGUAUUGACGCUGAGGUACGAAAGCGUGGGGAGCAAACAGGAUUAGAUACCCUGGUAGUCCACGCCGUAAACGAUGUGCACUAGAUUUGGGGGGUAUUGACCCCUCCCGAGUCGGAGCUAACGCAUUAAGUGCACCGCCUGGGGAGUACGGCCGCAAGGCUAAAACUCAAAGGAAUUGACGGGGGCCCGCACAAGCGGUGGAUUAUGUGGUUUAAUUCGAAGCAACGCGCAGAACCUUACCUAGGUUUGAAAUCCCGAGAAUCCUCCCGAAAAGGAGGAGUGCUCUUCGGAGAAUUCGGUGACAGGCGCUGCAUGGUUGUCGUCAGCUCGUGUCGUGAGAUGUUGGGUUAAGUCUCGCAACGAGCGCAACCCCUAUUAUUAGUUGCCAGCAUUAAGUUGGGCACUCUAAUGAGACUGCCUAGGUUAACUAGGAGGAAGGUGGGGACGACGUCAAAUCCUCAUGGCCCUUAUACCUAGGGCUACACACGUAAUACAAUGGCCGAUACAAAGGGAUGCGAACUCGUGAGGGGAAGCUAAUCUCAAAAAGUCGGUCUCAGUCCGGAUUGGAGUCUGCAACUCGACUCCAUGAAGUUGGAAUCGCUAGUAAUCGUGGAUCAGCACGCCACGGUGAAUACGUUCCCGGGCCUUGUACACACCGCCCGUCACACCAUGGGAGUUGGUUUUACCUGAAGUCGUGGCCCUAACUGCUUGCAGAGGGGAGCGCCCACGGUCGGACCGAUGACUGGGGUG
rnacentral:rRNA from 1 species